rnacentral:tRNA from 1 species
CGCGGGGUAGAGCAGAGGUCAGCUCGUCACUUUGACUUGGUGAAGGUCGUGGUUUCGAUUACCACCCCCGCAA